rnacentral:misc_RNA from 1 species
GAUGAAGAACGUAGCGAAAUGCGAUAAGUAAUGUGAAUUGCAGAAUUCAGUGAAUCAUCGAAUCUUUGAACGCAUCUUGCGCUCCUUGGUAUUCCUUGGAGCAUGCCUGUUUGGGUAUCAUGAGCAAAUCUCAAAGUCAAUUCCUUUUGUUGAUUCAAUUGGUUUUGCUUUGGACUUGGAGGCCUUGCAGAUUUCACAGUCUGCUCCUCUUAAAUGCAUUAGCUGGAUCUCAGUAAUUAUGCUUGGUUCCACUCGGCGUGAUAAGUAUCACUCGCUGAGGACACUGUUAAAAAGGUGGCCAGGAAAAUACUGAUUGAACCGCUUCUAACGGUCUAUUAAGUUAGACAAUUACCCUUAAGUUUGAUCUCAAAUCAGGUAGGACUACCCGCUGAACUUAAGCAUAUCAAUAAGCGGAGGA